rnacentral:rRNA from 1 species
CACGUAGGGCGCAAGCGUUGUCCGGAAUUACUGGGCGUAAAGCGUGCGUAGACGGUUAUUUAAGUCGGGUGUGAAAGCCCCGGGCUCAACCUGGGAAUUGCAUUUGAGACUGAAUAGCUAGGGUGCGGAAGAGGGAAGCGGAAUUUCCGGUGUAGCGGUGAAAUGCGUAGAUAUCGGAAGGAACACCAGUGGCGAAGGCGACUUUCUGGCCUGUUCUUGACGCUGAGACGCGAAAGCGUGGGGAGCAAACAGG